GCGGGAAUAGCUCAGUUGGUAGAGCGCCACCUUGCCGAGGUGGAGGUCGCGGGUUCGAAUCCCGUUUCCCGCU
rnacentral:tRNA from 1 species